AUCGAGUUUUUUUUACAAAGACCUGAGAGUGCAUCUCUUUCCUUUUUGCGAUAUAUAUAUAUAUAUAUAUAUAUAUAUAUAUAUAUAUAUAUAUAUAUAUAUAUAUAUAAAGCAAAAAGGAAAGAGAUGCACUCUCAGGUCUUUGUAAAAAAAAACUCGAU